rnacentral:lncRNA from 1 species
UGACUCCUCACUAGGACUACUUUGGUCAAAGUUUUACUAAAUUAAAACACAGUGAUGCAUCAUCUUCAAUUUUACGUAGAGCGGUCAAUCCCAUCUUGACUCACACUUAGACUUUACAAGUACUUGACUGUAUCCAAAAAUCUUCCAUCAUCGAAUUAAAAAUUUAGAUAGUCUGACAGCAAAGCAUAAUAAGUUGCUUGUAAGUCACCAAGGC